CGAACGCAGGGAACUGAAACAUCUAAGUACCUGCAGGAAAGGACAUCAACCGAGACUCCGCAAGUAGUGGCGAGCGAACGCGGACCAGGCCAGUGGCAAUGAUGAAUAAAGCGGAACGAUUUGGAAAAGUCGGCCAUAGAGGGUGAUAGCCCCUUACGCGUAGAACAGUCAUUGUCCUUGAGUAGGGCGGGACACGUGAAAUCCUGUCUGAACAUGGGGAGACCACUCUCCAAGCCUAAGUACUCGUGCAUGACCGAUAGCGAACAAGUACCGUGAGGGAAAGGUGAAAAGCACCCCGACGAGGGGAGUGAAAUAGAACCUGAAACCGGAUGCCUACAAACAGUCGGAGCCCGCAAGGGUGACGGCGUACCUUUUGUAUAAUGGGUCAACGACUUAGUGUAACUAGCAAGCUUAAGCCGGUAGGUGUAGGCGCAGCGAAAGCGAGUCUGAAUAGGGCGAUUGAGUUAGUUGCAUUAGACCCGAAACCGAGUGAUCUAGCCAUGAGCAGGCUGAAGGUUGGGUAACACCAACUGGAGGGCCGAACCCGU
rnacentral:rRNA from 1 species